rnacentral:rRNA from 1 species
GAUUCUGGCUCAGGAUGAACGCUAGCGGCAGGCUUAACACAUGCAAGUCGAGGGGCAGCGGGUGUAGCAAUACAUGCCGGCGACCGGCGAAAGGGUGAGUAACGCGCGAGCAACAUGCCCGAUACUGGGGGAUAGUCGAUGGAAACGUCGCGUAAUACCCCGUAACACAUUCUCUCGCAUGGGGGGAUGUUGAAAGAUUGAUUGGUAUCGGAUUGGCUCGCGUGCCAUUAGGUAGACGGCGGGGUAACGGCCCACCGUGCCGACGAUGGCUAGGGGUUCUGAGAGGAAGGUCCCCCCACAUUGGAACUGAGACACGGUCAGACUCCUACGGGAGGCAGCAGUGAGGAAUAUUGGACAAUGGCCGGAAGGCUGAUCCAGCCAUGCCGCGUGCGGGAUGAACCGGCCCUAUGGGUUGUAAACUUCUUUUGCAUGGGAAUAACGUGGCCCACUUGUGGGCUAUUGCAUGUACCUUGCGAAUAAGCAUCGGCUAAUUCCGUGCCAGCCGCAGC